UACGAAGGGGGCUAGCGUUGCUCGGAAUUACUGGGCGUAAAGCGCACGUAGGCGGUCUUUUAAGUCGGGGGUGAAAUACUUCAGCUCAACUGGAGAGGUGCCAUUGAUACUGGGAAACUUGAGUACUGAUGAGGUAGGCGGAAUGGACGGUGUAGCGGUGAAAUGCUUAGAUAUCGUCCAGAACACCGAUAGCGAAGGCAGCUUACUAAGGAGUAACUGACGCUGAGGAGCGAAAGCGUGGGGAGCGAACAGG
rnacentral:rRNA from 1 species